rnacentral:lncRNA from 1 species
AUGCCGGGCGGCGGAAGUUGAUUCGAUGGGUGUAAUUGGUAGUAUGUCUCUAGUCGUUGAUAGAGACGGAUUCGAGUUGUAUUAGUUCUCGGUUCGAGAUGAUUGUGUUGGCGGCCGACAACAUAACAGGAUGUCAAUUGGAUGAGCUAUGAAUAGCAGGAUUGAAAGUAGAAUCGAUCGAUCUACUUAUCUUGUUGCAUGAUUUGCAUUGUUGCAUGUUGAGAGGCAUAACAUGUAUUGUAAU